CAGUGGGUGGGGCUUGUCAAUUAACUCUCAGGUGUGCAAACGCAGAGCAAUGUUGGGAGGACAUUUUGAACUGCUUUGGAUUGAAUUUUGGAGCCGCUACCCUUCUGUCCUUGGACAUGUUCAGCUUGAUUUAUAGCGACCUAUUUCAAUAUAAAGGAGCAGUCUCAGACAUUACGCCGACUGCUUGAACCUGUACAAACUCCAACUUCAGGUUGCUGUGGGUGAGAUGGAGGCGGUGGAGGACAGGGACGGCGAGAGAUUCUGUCAUUUCAUUCAGGCAUUUCUCUUUCUGACACGCAUCCUCACCCUCGUAUUGUCGAUCAGCAUCAGCAGAUGACUGACAAAGGAACUGCUCAGCUACAGACAUGUCCACAUCAAGACCGCGUGUGUCUUUGUACUGCUCAAACAAACAAAACCAAACAAGACAGCAGCCUCAUGUGCCUGUUUUGGAUAUCAGAUCAACACAAAUGAUCCCGCUUUGUCGCAAGUUUUAAGGUGAAUAAGCUUCGUGGUGCCCAUGUUUUUCCAGAGCUCAUCCAGACAACACGAAGAACAUCCACUGGCAAAAAUAAAG